CAAAGAAGUACACAAACACCGCCGUUAUGGCAGGCAGCCCAACUUUGUUUCAUUGAUUUCAGACCUUUGCGCUCCUGUCGCCUUUGCGGAUUUGUAGGGUGGAAGAAAACACAGACAGUCGGACAUUCAUUUAUCCGAAGUGUGGAGAUUAAAAACGAAAACUAAAAAGUUUGAGAGUGAGAAAACUUUUAUCUGGAGUCAUGUGUCAACGUUAUGAGUGGAGACUAAAGAAAAGGGAGUCAGAGCCGGGAUGUUACUGCGUAAAAGUUCGCAAAAUGUGGGACCACCAACUGAUGGAAGGAGGCAGGGUGAGACGAUACGAGGUGAGAUUAACAAAAAGAGGAUCAAGUGCUAAGGGGGAAGGAGUGACAUCAGCGGUGACAUCAGAAGGGAGAAAGAUUUAUGGAGGGGGCUGGAGAAUAUCUCAGCUGUCGUGGGGGAAGAGGGAGGACACACCCUGGACAAGACGUCAGUCUGUCCCAGGCAGGCAACAGGCAACCAUUCAAUCCCACAACCAAUUUAGAAUCACCAAUUAAACUAACCCAUGCAUGUUUUUGGACUGUGGGAGGAUGCUGGAGUACCCAGAAAGAACCCACACAAGCACAGGCAGAACAUGCAAUCACCAAACAGAAAGGCCAGAGCCACGAAUUGAACCUAGGAUCUUUUUACUGUGAGGCAACAGUGCUAACCACCAUCACCACUGCACCAGCCCAACUAAACUCAUGACAGGAAGUAGCUCCCCCUAAUUUCUACCUAAUGCUUAAUUCAUGGUCACCACAUUGGUUGCUGCAUGUGCCAGCUGUGACAUCAUCACAGAAUCAUCACUAUUCAGUUGAUUCAUACUAAAUUUUUUGCAGUCUUCUGAGCGACAGGUGUCAAAGGAACAAGUGAAGAAACACUUUAUAAUAUGUAUGUGUCUAAGGGUGUACUUCCCCUGUUAUUGAAUGGAAUUUCAAAGUAUUUUAUCUGAAACUAAAAUGUAUAUAUAUUUACCUACAAAUACGUAAAGGUACCCCACAAUAAUAGGGUAAAGUAAAAGUAAAGUAAGACCGUUUAAAUAGUGUGUAAGUAAUUUUAAUUAAUUCAUUAGCAAUUUUACAUAGCUUCAGGUAUUUUACAAGAAAGAAGAAAUAAUUACAUUGAAGGUCAAUUUAGGUAAUGCAUAAAUAAUUAAAUAAGUGAAUAGGAAAGAAGUGCCUAAAUUCUGGCUACUUUACAGGAAAGGAGACACACACAAUACUAUAAGCAAUUUUAAGUAACUUCAUGUAUUUUACAGGAAAGAAAAAAUAAUUAGAUUGUAAGUAAUUUAGGUACUGCAUAAGUAUUUUUAAGUAGUACAUCUAGGUAUGGUGUAUAUUUGUCCAUGAUGGAUGUUAUAUUUUGAGGCCAACCAUCCAUUUAUAUUAAUAAUAUAAAUUUAACAAGGACUGUUCUCCCUUACAAAAAAUAAAUACUGUCAAUAUUUGCUGGCCUAUGUGGUCUUAUAAUAAUGGAGCCAAGCCUAACUGAAUUCUUUUUGCAGUCAUUGUUUAAAAAAUUACUUCUUAAAGAAGUGUUUCGGGAAAGAAGUGUCUGUUUUCCUGUAAAGUUACCUGUAAG
ensembl:lncRNA